ACCUAAACUAUAUUCCAAUAAAAAGUUCAUCUUUCUUCUCAAAUUUGAAAUGAAACAGGAGACAUAGAAGAAGACUCCGCCAGAAGUCUUCCAGAAUACUUCCAGGAAUUUUUCUCGUGCACUAAAUGUUAGAAGACUUCCGAAAAAACGUCCCUGGAAGUCUUCCACGUAUGUCUCAGAUCUGACAAAUCUUCAUAUCCGAAAGCAUUCAAAUGGCUUCAAAACAUAGAAAAACUUCAAAAAUAAGGUAAGAGCUUAAAACAACCAAA
rnacentral:lncRNA from 1 species